rnacentral:rRNA from 1 species
CUGGGGGUGAAAGGCCAAUCAAACCGGGAGAUAGCUGGUUCUCCCCGAAAGCUAUUUAGGUAGCGCCUCGUGAAUUCAUCUCCGGGGGUAGAGCACUGUUUCGGCUAGGGGGCCAUCCCGGCUUACCAACCCGAUGCAAACUGCGAAUACCGGAGAAUGUUAUCACGGGAGACACACGGCGGGUGCUAACGUCCGUCGUGAAGAGGGAAACAACCCAGACCGCCAGCUAAGGUCCCAAAGUCAUGGUUAAGUGGGAAACGAUGUGGGAAGGCCCAGACAGCCAGGAUGUUGGCUUAGAAGCAGCCAUCAUUUAAAGAAAGCGUAAUAGCUCACUGGUCGAGUCGGCCUGCGCGGAAGAUGUAACGGGGCUAAACCAUGCACCGAAGCUGCGGCAGCGAACGUAUCACUUAAAGCGAUUCAGCGGGUUACGAUUGACGGAGCGAAGCGACGUCAAAGCGUAUACAAAGUCGAGUCGGUUUAAGGAUACGUUCGUUGGGUAGGGGAGCGUUCUGUAAGCCUGCGAAGGUGGCCUGUGAGGGUUGCUGGAGGUAUCAGAAGUGCGAAUGCUGACAUAAGUAACGAUAAAGCGGGUGAAAAGCCCGCUCGCCGGAAGACCAAGGGUUCCUGUCCAACGUUAAUCGGGGCAGGGUGAGUCGACCCCUAAGGCGAGGCCGAAAGGCGUAGUCGAUGGGAAACGGGUUAAUAUUCCCGUACUUGGUGUUACUGCGAAGGGGGGACGGAGAAGGCUAUGUUGGCCGGGCGACGGUUGUCCCGGUUUAAGCGUGUAGGUGUGUGUUCCAGGUAAAUCCGGUUCACUUUAACACUGAGGCGUGACGACGAGGCACUACGGUGCUGAAGCAACAAAUGCCCUGCUUCCAGGAAAAGCCUCUAAGCAUCAGGUAACAUCAAAUCGUACCCCAAACCGACACAGGUGGUCAGGUAGA